GUACUGCUGAAGAGUCCCAAACUAGGACGAAACAGUCGUCCAGUAC
rnacentral:hammerhead_ribozyme from 1 species